rnacentral:rRNA from 1 species
ACUCCUACGGGAGGCAGCAGUGGGGAAUAUUGCACAAUGGGCGCAAGCCUGAUGCAGCAACGCCGUGUGAGUGAAGAAGGUUUUCGGAUCGUAAAACUCUGUCCUAAGGGAAGAACAAAUGACGGUACCUUAGGAGGAAGCCCCGGCUAACUACGUGCCAGCAGCCGCGGUAAUACGUAGGGGGCAAGCGUUAUCCGGAAUCACUGGGCGUAAAGGGUGCGUAGGCGGCUUAGCAAGCCAGGGGUGAAAGGCAUUGGCUCAACCAAUGUAAGCCUUUGGAACUGUUAAGCUUGAGUGCAGGAGAGGUAAGUGGAAUUCCUAGUGUAGAGGUGAAAUUCGUAGAUAUUAGGAGGAACACCAGUGGCGAAGGCGACUUACUGGACUGUAACUGACGCUGAUGCACGAAAGCGUGGGUAGCGAACAGGAUUAGAUACCCUGGUAGCACAGAG